AGACUGUUUGAGCGUAUUUCAAAUUCUAAUGUUUUCCUGUGGAGUUUCGGUUGCGCAUAAUCCGUGAGCACUGUCUGUGAGACGCAUUUUUAUUAUUUGGUAGUUGUCUAGCUUUAACUCGAGAAGGGGGCAUCUACAGAAAUGUCAAAUUAAAUUCUCCAUGGAGUUGUAUUAGUAUGUUGCAGAAGUUGUGUCUGCAACAUGGGUAAAUUCGAAAAUUUGGAGGCGUAUUUUUUUACUUGAAGAGUAAAAUUGUUGGGAUUGUUUUGUUUUAGGUGUCUAACGGGCGAACGAAAUGUCCUACGACAACGAUUCUUUCAUCAAAUUGUGUUUAGCAGGCGAACAAAUUGUCCUAGGACAACGAUUCUUUCAUCAGAUUGUGUCUAACAGGCGAACAAAUUGUCCUAGGACAACGAUUCUUUAAUCAGAUUGUGUCUAGCAGGCGAACAAAUUGUCCUAGGACAACGAUUCUUUCAUCAGAUUGUAUCUAACAGGCGAACAAAUUGUCCUAGGACAACGAUUCUUUAAUCAGAUUGUGUCUAACAGACGAACAAAUUGUCCUAGGACAACGAUUCUUUAAUCAGAUUGUGUCUAGCAGGCGAACAAAUUGUCCUAGGACAACGAUUCUUGCAUUAGAUUGUGUCUAGCAUGCGAACAAAUUGUCCUUGGACAACGAUUCUUGGAUCAGGAUGUGUCUAACAGGCGAACAAAUUGCCCUAGGACAACGAUUCUUUCAUCAGAUUGUAAGUAUUAAAAUUGUUUGUCAUUUACAUGAAUAGUUUCCAUGGUUCAUACAAUGGAAAGUGAAUUAAUUUAGUUGUUUUAAAUAUUAGCAGACGCAUUGCAGAUUUCUUGGUAAUUUAUUUAAAGUUUGUUGUCCUAAAACUAGAGGGCGAUACCAGCGGCUAUCUAUUAUGUUUUGUUCCGCCACACCUAGAUGGCGCUCGUGUCAGCUAUCAUUUUUUUAGUUCCGCAACAGUCAGAUGGCGUUGCCAUCGAUUUGGUUUAAAAUCUUGCUUAAUUUUAGUUUAGUUUUUUGUUUCACUUUUAUACAUAACUUUUAAGUUUAACAAAACAAAAAGUAACCAAA